CCUGGCUCAGGAUGAACGCUAGCGGCAGGCCUAAUACAUGCAAGUCGGACGGGAUCCAUCGGUAGCUUGCUACCGAUGGUGAGAGUGGCGCACGGGUGCGUAACGCGUGAGCAACCUGCCCAUAUCAGGGGGAUAGCCCGGAGAAAUCCGGAUUAACACCGCAUGCAACCGGAGGAUGGCAUCAUCUUCCGGUUAAAUAUUCAUAGGAUAUGGAUGGGCUCGCGUGACAUUAGCUAGUUGGUGGGGUAACGGCCCACCAAGGCGACGAUGUCUAGGGGCUCUGAGAGGAGAAUCCCCCACACUGGUACUGAGACACGGACCAGACUCCUACGGGAGGCAGCAGUAAGGAAUAUUGGUCAAUGGGGGCAACCCUGAACCAGCCAUGCCGCGUGCAGGACGACUGCCCUAUGGGUUGUAAACUGCUUUUGUUAGGGAAUAAACCCCGCUACGUGUAGUGGGCUGAAUGUACCUAAAGAAUAAGGAUCGGCUAACUCCGUG
rnacentral:rRNA from 1 species